CGUGCCUCGGGGGUUUCAUCCGGGUACUCCGGUUUUCUCCCCCGGUCCAAAGACAUGCAUGAUUUAUUUCGUUUCAACAUCUAAACACAGCACAGAAGUCCGGCAUCGUGCAUGCAUUUGAAGUACAAAACCCCUGUACAAAGAUGCCGGCGGUUUUGGCGCAUUUUUAGGACCCCAAGGCGACAUCUAUGUAUAGAUAUCUAUGUGUUUUAACAAGAACAUAAAUAAAUUCUGUUUUGAAUCCUC